GUGUUCACUUUGGCAGCACAUAUACUAGAAUUGGAACAGUACAGAGAUUAGCACGGCCCCCGUGCAAGGUUGACAUGCAAAAUCACAAAGCAGAAAAGAGCAAA